AUGAUUCAGCUAUCUAUACUGAUUCUUACCAUCCUGCGCUACGUAUUACAAUCACCAGCCAACAUGAAGAUAAGAAGGAAGGAAGUUGAAAGAAUGGCAGUACAGUGUCAGACCCAAAUGGACAUCAAUGAAGUGGCUGUGGAAUGAAUAAAAACAGAUCCUGUGUCUCAAUUCUAUGGCAAGAAGAACAGAAAAUAAUAUAAUUCCACUGGGCAAAGUGCCAGGAGAAGUAAUGUAGAAGAACCA
rnacentral:lncRNA from 1 species